rnacentral:misc_RNA from 1 species
AGAAAAAAAAAAAAAAAAAAACCUUCCUUUGAAUUCGAGAAAAGCCCUCAAAAACCCAGAAAUGUUUGGCUUUCUUUAAUAUUUACUCAUUGUAAAUAAAAGAAAAAAGAAAAAAAAAUGGAAUUCGAGUUCCUUAAAGAUCCAAAUCCAGGGAGAGAGGAAAAAGUGACGAAAAGAAACAGUUUUUGAAGAAAUUUCGUUUUUCUAUUAAUAAAA